UUUUUUUUUUUUUUUGUUUUCUCAAGAUGAUAACGGAUCUAGCUUCGCCAUCAAUAAGUAUGAGACAAAGGAGUCCAUCUUUGAUGAAACAUCCAUUUGCCUGUUGUACAUUUUUGCAGGACAACCAGCCUGAGCACAAGAGACAUGGUGUACUAGACUUUGUGCGGAAUGUCUACUUCAAAACUUGCAUCUUUAUAUCUGAUAUAUAGAGAUAUAGAGAUAUAGAGAUAUAGAGAGAGGCUGAUGAUUUAUAAACACAAACGAUAAGACUUGUAACAUGAAGUUUGUCGAAAAAGUCAAUCUUUAAAUUCCUUUCUGAACCUCUCUGUUAUGUCAGUGCUUCGGUAUUAUGUUUUAAUGCAGUCACUUGAGGCGUUGUCCUAAUAGGUGCAAAGUUACCGUAUAUUUAGGUUUCAUGUUUGUGAUUACUGGAGAACGACUGUGAAGAGACCAACCGUAUCGUGUUUUUUCCAAUUGUGAUCUUCCAAUGCUUAAUAAAUACGAAAUCUUAUUUCGAUUUACAGGCUGGGCAUUCACGAAACAUAGCGUUUUUACAUUUCUACAGGCACACUAUAAACAACUUGCAAUAUCUGCCAUCACUUUAUUUCUCCAACUUUGUUCAAGUUAAAAGUGGCAGAAAGUGUUUCCCGAUAUGAGAUAACCCAACGCAUAUGUUGUUGCNAAAACUAAACGCCCAUUCAUCAAGCGAGUCGAGAUGAGAGGAAUCAUUGUAUAAAANGCUAGCAUGUAAAAGCUGGAAGAAGGAAAAACACGGGAUAUGUAA
rnacentral:sRNA from 1 species